AUGUCGUCGCCGACCCCACCUUCGGCAGACUCCACGCCGAGGCCGAGGUCGCCGACCACGUCCCCGCCCCGCCGGAGGCCUUGCUCGUCAUGGAGAGCCGCGAGCACGGCAGGUCCGACGAGGCCAGCUUCUUCUGCGUCUCCUCGUCCAAGACCACGCCCAUGCCUCGCCGCGUCGCCAUCCCCAGCGGCUACAGCCUCUCCAACGUCUGCAACGGCCUCCUAUGCUUCGCCCUCGACUCCAUCUCCGAUGCGCCGGCGUUCAUCAGCAACCCUGUCACCGGCGAGACGGCAACACUCGCCAAGGCGCCUCCCUUCAGGAUCUGGGAGCGGGACCCAAAAUCUAUCAUCACUUCGCCUUGGGGUUCAGCCCUUCCACCAAGGAGCACAAGCUGUUCCGCUUCUCCUCCUUGGCACCAUACGAUUGUACUAUCUUAGAACCCGAUCAAAAUCAACCAGUGUGUGUGCACCUUAG
rnacentral:rRNA from 1 species